rnacentral:rRNA from 1 species
AGGACGAACGCUGGCGGCGUGCUUAACACAUGCAAGUCGAGCGGUAAGGCCUUUCGGGGUACACGAGCGGCGAACGGGUGAGUAACACGUGGGUGAUCUGCCCUGCACUUCGGGAUAAGCCUGGGAAACUGGGCCUAAUACCGGAUAUGACCUCCUAUCGCAUGGUGGGUGGUGGAAAGAUUUAUCGGUGCAGGAUGGGCCCGCGGCCUAUCAGCUU